rnacentral:rRNA from 1 species
UACGUAGGGUGCAAGCGUUGUCCGGAAUUAUUGGGCGUAAAGAGCUCGUAGGCGGCCUGUUGCGUCCGCUGUGAAAGCCCGGGGCUUAACCCCGGGCCUGCAGUGGGUACGGGCAGACUAGAGUGCGGUAGGGGAGACUGGAAUUCCUGGUGUAGCGGUGAAAUGCGCAGAUAUCAGGAGGAACACCGGUGGCGAAGGCGGCUCACUGGCCCGGUACUGACGCUGAGGUGCGAAAGCGUGGGGGAGCAAACAGG